CGAACGGGUGAGUAACACGUGGGCAACCUGCCCAAAAGAGGGGGAUAACACUUGGAAACAGGUGCUAAUACCGCAUAACCAUAGUUACCGCAUGGUAACUACGUAAAAGGUGGCUAUGCUACCGCUUUUGGAUGGGCCCGCGGCGCAUUAGCUAGUUGGUGGGGUAAAGGCUUACCAAGGCAAUGAUGCGUAGCCGAACUGGGAGGUUGAUCGGCCACAUUGGGACUGAGACACGGCCCAAACUCCUACGGGAGGCAGCAGUAGGGAAUCUUCCACAAUGGGCGAAAGCCUGAUGGAGCAACGCCGCGUGGGUGAAGAAGGUCUUCGGAUCGUAAAACCCUGUUGUUAGAGAAGAAAGUGCGUGAGAGUAACUGUUCACGUUUCGACGGUAUCUAACCAGAAAGCCACGGCUAACUACGUGCCAGCAGCCGCGGUAAUACGUAGGUGGCAAGCGUUAUCCGGAUUUAUUGGGCGUAAAGGGAACGCAGGCGGUCUUUUAAGUCUGAUGUGAAAGCCUUCGGCUUAACCGGAGUAGUGCAUUGGAAACUGGGAGACUUGAGUGCAGAAGAGGAGAGUGGAACUCCAUGUGUAGCGGUGAAAUGCGUAGAUAUAUGGAAGAACACCAGUGGCGAAAGCGGCUCCCUGGUCUGUAACUGACGCUGAGGUUCGAAAGCGUGGGUAGCAAACAGGAUUAGAUACCCUGGUAGUCCACGCCGUAAACGAUGAAUGCUAAGUGUUGGAGGGUUUCCGCCCUUCAGUGCUGCAGCUAACGCAAUAAGCAUUCC
rnacentral:rRNA from 1 species